GACGAACGCUGGCGGCGUGCUUAACACAUGCAAGUCGAACGGUAAGGCUCCAGCUUGCUGGGGUACACGAGUGGCGAACGGGUGAGUAACAAGUGGGUGACCUGCCCUGCACUUCGGGAUAAGCCUGGGAAACUGGGUCUAAUACCGGAUAGGACCAUGGUGUGGAUACUGUGGUGGAAAGUUUUUUCGGUGUGGGAUGGGCCCGCGUCCUAUCAGCUUGUUGGUGGGGUAAUGGCCUACCAAGGCGGCGACGGGUAGCCGGCCUGAGAGGGUGGACGGCCACAUUGGGACUGAGACACGGCCCAGACUCCUACGGGAGGCAGCAGUGGGGAAUAUUGCACAAUGGGCGGAAGCCUGAUGCAGCGACGCCGCGUGGGGGAUGACGGCCUUCGGGUUGUAAACUCCUUUCCCCAUCGACGAAGGGUUUCUGACGGUAGAUUGAGAAGAAGCACCGGCUAACUACGUG
rnacentral:rRNA from 1 species